rnacentral:lncRNA from 1 species
ACCCAGGGAGAAAGGGCGAGUAAGCUAAGGUCACACAGCAACAAAGCUGCACCCAGACCCCAGAGCCACUCUCCUCCCUCCCUCCUCCACCAGGGCCAUGCCCACUUGGGGCACCCCGCCACCGUGUUCCAGGGACAGCUGGAGCACAUGCUUCUUCCCUCGCCAACCCAGCAAUUCCGCAGGGCAUCUGACCUCCACUGUUGACUUCUACCCAGAGGACAAGAACAUUUUUAGUUCCCAAGGAAUGUACAUCAGC